AGAGUUUGAUCCUGGCUCAGGAUCAACGCUGGCGGCGUGCCUAAUGCAUGCAAGUCGCACGGGGUCAUCUUCGGAUGGCUUACGUGGCGGACGGGUGAGGAACACGUGGGUAAUCUGCCCGGUGGUGGGGGCUAGCCCUCGGAAACGAGGGGUAAUUCCGCAUACGGUCGCAUCUCGAGUGGGAGGUGUGACGAAAGCCGCAAGGCGCCGCCGGAGGAGCCCGCGUCCGAUUAGCUUGUUGGUGGGGUAACGGCUCACCAAGGCGAUGAUCGGUCGCUGGUCUGAGAGGAUGAUCAGCCACACGGGGACUGAGACACGGCCCCGACUCCUACGGGAGGCAGCAGCAAGGAAUUUUCCGCAAUGGGCGCAAGCCUGACGGAGCAACGCCGCGUGCGGGAUGACGCUUUUCGGAGUAUAAACCGCUGUUCCCAGGGACGAAGCACUGACGGUACCUGGGGAGGAAGGCCCGGCUAACUACGUGCCAGCAGCCGCGGUAAUACGUAGGGGCCGAGCGUUGUCCGGAGUUACUGGGCGUAAAGCGCGCGCAGGUGGCUCAUUACGCCCGGCGUGAAAGCCCCCGGCCUAACCGGGGAGGGUCGUCGGGGACGGGUGAGCUUGAGGGUAUCAGGGGCUGGUGGAAUUCCCGGUGUAGUGGUGAAAUGCGUAGAGAUCGGGAGGAACACCCGUGGCGAAGGCGGCCAGCUGGGAUACACCUGACACUGAGGCGCGAAGGCGUGGGGAGCGAACGGGAUUAGAUACCCCGGUAGUCCACGCAGUAAACGAUGCCGACUAGGCGUGGGGGGACUUGACCCCUUCCGUGCCGAAGCUAACGCAUGAAGUCGGCCGCCUGGGGAGUACGGCCGCAAGGCUAAAACUCAAAUGAAUUGACGG
rnacentral:rRNA from 1 species